rnacentral:rRNA from 1 species
GGACCGGCGCACGGGUGAGUAACACGUAUCCAACCUGCCGAUAACUCGGGGAUAGCCUUUCGAAAGAAAGAUUAAUACCCGAUGGUUAUCGAUGGGGAUGCGUUCCAUUAGGCAGUUGGUGAGGUAACGGCUCACCAGACCUUCGAUGGAUAGGGGUUCUGAGAGGAAGGUCCCCCACAUUGGAACUGAGACACGGUCCAAACUCCUACGGGAGGCAGCAGUGAGGAAUAUUGGUCAAUGGGCGCAGGCCUGAACCAGCCAAGUAGCGUGAAGGAUGACUGCCUAUGGGUUGUAAACUUCUUUUAUAUGGGAAUAUGUACCAUAUGAAUAAGGAUCGGCUAACUCCGUGCCAGCAGCCGCGGUAAUACGGAGGAUCCGAGCGUUAUCCGGAUUUAUUGGGUUUAAAGGGAGCGUAGGUGGACAGUUAAGUCAGUUGUGAAAGUUUGCGGCUCAACCGUAAAAUUGCAGUUGAUACUGGCUGUCUUGAGUACAGUAGAGGUGGGCGGAAUUCGUGGUGUAGCGGUGAAAUGCUUAGAUAUCACGAAGAACUCCGAUUGCGA